rnacentral:rRNA from 1 species
ACUCCUACGGGAGGCAGCAGUGGGGAAUAUUGCACAAUGGGCGCAAGCCUGAUGCAGCCAUGCCGCGUGUAUGAAGAAGGCCUUCGGGUUGUAAAGUACUUUCAGCAGUGAGGAAGGUGGGUAUGUUAAUAGCAUACUCAUUUGACGUUAGCUGCAGAAGAAGCACCGGCUAACUCCGUGCCAGCAGCCGCGGUAAUACGGAGGGUGCGAGCGUUAAUCGGAAUUACUGGGCGUAAAGCGCAUGCAGGUGGUUUGUUAAGUCAGAUGUGAAAGCCCGGGGCUCAACCUCGGAAUUGCAUUUGAAACUGGCAAACUAGAGUACUGUAGAGGGGGGUAGAAUUUCAGGUGUAGCGGUGAAAUGCGUAGAGAUCUGAAGGAAUACCGGUGGCGAAGGCGGCCCCCUGGACAGAUACUGACACUCAGAUGCGAAAGCGUGGGAGCAAACAGGAUUAGAUACCCGGUGACUCA